AGUCUAUCAUUAGCCUCGAUCCCAGGCCGAGUUUUCGCUUUUAUAACGGUUAGGCGAACAACUGGGCCUGGUACUAGUUGUCUGCGCAUGCGUCAGUCGUUCGUCAGAUUCUGACGAAUGGAUAUUCUCGUUCACUUUCGUGACAUUUAUAUUCGUGUACUAUCGUGUACUAGAAGUCAGUUCCCGUUUUAUCAUUAUUGGAAUCGAUUGGAAUGGCUCUUAGCUGAAGCUUCUCUCUUCUCUGAAGCUUAUUCUGAAGACUGAACAACAAGGGAAGAGGUAUAAAGCUUUGUCAAGCUUGUUAAUUAAAGGUCAGAUAUUUUUGUGUGGGCCCUAUGGCUAUGCUAUCAAGUAUUGUUCAUGUUUGGCAAGAUCUACCGGUACGUAGGUAGACUAUAGUUUCAUCAUUAAUAUGGUGGAUCAAGUGAAGAGUGUGAGCUAGGAGAACUUGGUGCUGCCAUCAUCAGCUCGUCGACACAAUGACACUAUAACCGAGAAAUUUAAUAUGUAUAGAUCUACACGUAUUUAAAAUGUCUACUUCUCUGUACAGGAGCAAUGGCUAAUAUCCAGCUAUCCCAACAGUGCUCCUCUUGGCUAUACUAACAGACGAGACUGGACAGUUUGAGGACUGGAGUAUGACCUGCUCAUUCGAGCGUUGCUGGGUAGCUCAGAGACAUCAAGAGAAUCUAUGUUUUCUCAAGCAAAAAAUUUAACUGAGUUACGAGUUGGGGCCUAGAAUCACAGAAGUCCAGCAGCCUGCUAAAUCUUUUUGAAACAUAAUUGGAAGGCAUUCAAUCAUCCUGAAGUUGCCCUGGGUCACUGUAAUUGUGCUGCAGCACAACUGGCAACUCCCCAGGCCUUUGUGAAGCAGCUCCCUAUGUGCAUCUUUUGUGUACUCACUCUGUGCAUUUUCUGUGUACAAAUUUCAAUUAUUGAUUUAUUAAAUAUUUUUGCCGACCACAAA